rnacentral:hammerhead_ribozyme from 1 species
AUCCAACUGACGAGUCCCAAAUGGGAAAAAAUGCGCAUCCUGGAU